GUUGAACGCUGGCGGCAUGCUUUACACAUGCAAGUCGAGCGGCAGCGCGGGGCAACCUGGCGGCGAGCGGCGAACGGGUGAGUAAUGUAUCGGAACGUGUCCUUGAGUGGGGGAUAGCCCGGUGAAAACCGGAUUAAUACCGCAUACGCAGGAGACUGGAAAGACGGGGGAGUCGCAAGACCUCGCGCUCUAGGAGCGGCCGAUAUCCGAUUAGUUUGUUGGUGAGGUAAAGGCUACCAAGGCGAUGAUCGGUAGCUGGUCUGAGAGGAUGAUCAGCCACACUGGGACUGAGACACGACCCAGACUCCUACGGGAGGCAGCAGUGGGGAAUUUUGGACAAUGGGGGCAACCCUGAUCCAGCCAUUCCGCGUGAGUGAAGAGGGCCUCGGUGUAAGA
rnacentral:rRNA from 1 species